ACAGAGAUUAACAUCAAUAGAUUAACUAUAAUGUUUAAGACAAAAUGGUGAUAACUAUCAACUUAAACAAAUAUUGAACCAUAUAUCAAUCCUGAUUCAAUUCUAAAACAAAUUGUAAAAUUAUACCUAACUAAACCGUUGAAUAAUUGUAUCAUUUAAUAAGACUUAUAAACCAAUUUCACAGUGAAUGGGGCAUUAUUUGGGACUACUACACCUUAAUCUCUUUUGGUGUAUGAUUUUGAGUUAACACAUGGCCAAAUGAACGUUAAUCACAAAUUAAUUCGACUGGACAUUAACAGAGACUAGGUUGUACACUGCCUUUCCGCUCAAUUUCCAGUUAAAACUAAUGAGGAUCAUAGAUCUAAAAUUAAUAUCCUAUUCCAGUUAUCACACUACGCCAAAACGAACCAAGUUAUAACAUGUCUAGAUCGCUAGUCUAACAUUAUAGUUCCAGUUCAGUCAGUCUAGUUAUACAGUACACACACAAAUCAAAUGUAUUCUUAAGCAAAUACAGGUCAUGUAUCAUCACUUAUACUAUGAUAGCUCAUACACACAUUUUUCAGAAUCAAAUAGAUGGAUACUUCAUUUCAUCAUUGCACUUCACAACUUCAUCAAACAUGAUUCGAAUGUGUACCUGGAAGUCGAAUUACAGUAAACAAAAGAGGAGAUAAGCAAAAAGUAAUAACAGAUAGUAUCCAACAAUCAAACACAACAGCAAUAGAGACAGUUUUGGACCAAAAGUACUUCACAAAAAAACCCAGAAAACUUCACAGAAACACAGCACCAGCAUAUGACCAAAGCAAACUGAUCGAACCCCAAAAACUACUCGAAAUCAAACAGAGACGCCUCCGAACCUUCAAAUUACCAGAACUGAACUAAACAAAAAUGUAAACCAAUAACUAAAGGGUGAAAUUCACCUUCAGUUUUAAUGAAACAGUAGUUUUUUUGGAUUUUGGACAGUUUUUUAUUGUUUUUAUGGUUUUUUCUUUGAAGAAAGCUAAGAUCUAAGAGGAGUUUUAGAUCUGAAUUUGAAUUUCAGAUCUAUGGAGCUUGAUGAUAUUUUUGGGGGGAAUAUUGAGGCUUGAAACUUGUGAUUCAAGGCAAGGACAUUGCCAUUUUAUAGGCACAAAUGAGGCCAUAUCAGGUUUUCAGCCUUUGCCAAUUAGUCCCUCUUUUAUUGACUAGUGUUUCAAGGAAACAAUCUAACUUUCUGAAAUUAAAACUAAAAUUCUAUUCUAGAAGGUUCUAGUAUUAACCACGAUAUUAUAUCCUAUUAUCAAAUACCCAAAAUACCCCCUAAACAUCCCCUGAAAUUUCUAAACUAACUAAUUCUAAUUAGCUAUAUCCAAUCACCUAAAGCUAAUAGCAAUCUUAAUAAUCAUCGUAAACAGUCAAGGCUGGAAACCAAUUCUAAUCAAAUUAAUUCUAAGCAAGAUCAACACACUAAAAAUCCCACCCAAUAAGCUCGUUUAAACACCGAAUUGAAACAACGGUUAAACUAAACUAGAAAAAUCACAAGAAUUAAACUAAUAGAACCAAGAAGAAGAUAUAAAUCCACCAACAUUUGUACUAACAGAAAUCAGAAAAACCAGGCGGGACACUUAUUGAUUUAAAACUAAUAAUCAAAACUUUAACUAAAACCUAGAACACUAAUUAUGGAUUAACUAAUCUUAAAAACAGAUAAUCGAACGAUAAAGAAAAGGAAACUUACUAAUGCCAAGUUAAACCACAAUGAACCGCGAACUCGAACAUCGAAGUGAUGUGAACAUGUGUUCUUCACAAGAACAAAUGAACACAUUAUCCCGAAACUCGACUCAGACGCUGGACUCAGGAGAUUGGAGAAAACUCGAGCAGCUUAGAAUAUUAGGGUUCUGCCUUUUUUAUGAUUUGAAAUUCGAGAAGAUGUAGGAGGAUCAGGAAAAUCUUGUUGGGGAUUAGGGAUGAGGGAGGUCAGGGGAGGGUAGGGUGUGAAUUUGGGGACGUUUGGACAACAUAGCAUUUUGGCCGGAAUUUUUGAUUUAAUAUUUAAAAGGAUUGGUGAUGAAUUGAAGGAUAUGGAUUUAGGGGUUGGAAAGAGGAGGAGAAGACGAGUUGAUGAUGUAUUUUUGGGAGGGAUUGGAGCUUCUCCGCCGGCGAAGACGAUUUCCGGUCGGCGGCGUAUGAGGGAAGAUGAUGAAGGCAUAGGGGUACGAGGAAGAAGCAGAUAGUCUCUAGGGUUUCUGAUUGCUUAGGACAAUUUUAUGUUAAUCCAAUCAUCAAUCGUGGGCCGGAUGAGAGCAAUGGACGGUCAAGAUCAAAACUUAUUCUUAAAGACGUCGUUUAUGGGGGGAAGGAGCUGGUCAGAGUAUUUUUGGGAUUGGGCCUGGUCAGCUGGUCCGAUUUUGGGGUUAUGGGAUGGGAUUUUCAUGAAACUGGCCCAAACAUGGCACCUUAUUAAGACUUUCUUCCUUUUUUAUUUGUUUUCCUUUUUUGUUUUCUCUUCUUAUUUAUUUUAUUUUGUAUUUAUAGUUUUUUUUUAUUUUAUUAAAAUGCAAAAUUAAAAUAAAGACCUAAUUUAUUUCCAUAAUUCAGCUAAUUGUUGUCUUGUGUUAUCUCGG
rnacentral:lncRNA from 1 species